rnacentral:misc_RNA from 1 species
AGGACUACUAGGGUAUCUAAUCCUGUUUGCUACCCACACUUUCGCGCCUCAGCGUCAGUUACUGUCCAGGUGGCCGCCUUCGCCACUGGUGUUCCUCCUCAUCUCUACGCAUUUCACCGCUACACGAGGAAUUCCACCACCCUCUCCAGUACUCCAGCCUUCCAGUCUCAGAUGCAGUUCCCAAGUUGAGCUCGGGGAUUACACAUCUGACUUAAAAAACCGCCUACGCGCCCUUUACGCCCAAUAAUUCCGAAUAACGCUUGCCCCCUCUGUAUUACCGCGGCGGCUGGCACC